CAGUCGCCACGGUAAUACGUAGGGUGCGAGCGUUAAUCGGAAUUACUGGGCGUAAAGCGUGCGCAGGCGGUUUUGUAAGACAGGCGUGAAAUCCCCGGGCUCAACCUGGGAAUGGCGCUUGUGACUGCAAAGCUAGAGUGCGGCAGAGGGGGAUGGAAUUCCGCGUGUAGCAGUGAAAUGCGUAGAUAUGCGGAGGAACGCCGAUGGCGAAGGCAAUCCCCUGGGCCUGCACUGACGCUCAUGCACGAAAGCGUGGGGAGCAAACAGGAUUAGAUACCCCAGUAGUCCCUGUCUCUUAUAC
rnacentral:rRNA from 1 species